CAGUAGCCGCGGGAAUACGUAGGGUGCAAGCGUUAAUCGGAAUUACUGGGCGUAAAGCGAGCGCAGACGGUUAUUUAAGCAGGAUGUGAAAUCCCCGGGCUUAACCUGGGAACUGCGUUCUGAACUGGAUAGCUAGAGUGUGUCAGAGGGGGGUAGAAUUCCACGUGUAGCAGUGAAAUGCGUAGAGAUGUGGAGGAAUACCGAUGGCGAAGGCAGCCCCCUGGGAUAACACUGACGUUCAUGCUCGAAAGCGUGGGUAGCAAACAGGAUUAGAUACCCCUGUAGUCCCUGUCUCUUAUAA
rnacentral:rRNA from 1 species